AUUGAACGCUGGCGGCAGGCCUAACACAUGCAAGUCGAGCGGAAGAAGGGAGCUUGCUCCUGGAUUCAGCGGCGGACGGGUGAGUAAUGCCUAGGAAUCUGCCUGGUAGUGGGGGAUAACGUCCGGAAACGGGCGCUAAUACCGCAUACGUCCUGAGGGAGAAAGUGGGGGAUCUUCGGACCUCACGCUAUCAGAUGAGCCUAGGUCGGAUUAGCUAGUUGGUGGGGUAAAGGCCUACAAAGGCGACGAUCCGUAACUCGUCUGAGAGGAUGAUCAGUCACACUGGAACUGAGACACGGUCCAGACUCCUACGGGAGGCAGCAGUCGGGAAUAUUGGACAAUGGGCGAAAGCCUGAUCCAGCCAUGCCGCGUGUGUGAAGAAGGUCUUCGGAUUGUAAAGCACUUUAAGUUGGGAGGAAGGGCAGUAAGUUAAUACCUUGCUGUUUUGACGUUACCAACAGAAUAAGCACCGGCUAACUUCGUG
rnacentral:rRNA from 1 species